rnacentral:rRNA from 1 species
UACGGGGGGGGGCAAGCGUUGUUCGGAAUUACUGGGCGUAAAGGGCGCGUAGGCGGUCAGCACAAGUCAGUUGUGAAAUCUCCGGGCUUAACUCGGAAAGGUCAACUGAUACUGUGCGACUAGAGUGCAGAAGGGGCAACUGGGAAUUCUCGGUGUAGCGGUGAAAUGCGUAGAUAUCGAGAGGAACACCUGCGGCGAAGGCGGGUUGCUGGGCUGACACUGACGCUGAUGCGCGAAAGCCAGGGGAGCGAACGGGAUUAG